rnacentral:lncRNA from 14 species
CAAUGGGUUGGGCUCAGGGAGUCUCCUUUUCUUGUUUUCUUUUAGCAGGAGACACCAGCUGACAAGCCCCUUCUGGGUGGCUUCAUCCAAAGUGUUGGUGUAGGCUCAAAGCACGAUCUUUUCUUGUGCUCAGUGUGUCUAUCUUGUUUCUGCUUAACUGUUCUGUCUGGUUUUAUGCUUUAGUUUGUGUUCCCUCUACUAGCUGUGAAUGAUCUCUCAAUUUCUAGUUUAUUUGAUCAGGGUCCCAGCUCCAGAUGUGGAAGAAAUCAGAGAACUGAUGUCUCUCUAAAGCAAACUAUGGCAACUGGACUGUCUGAUAGGUUUUGGCACUGGGAGUUCCCUGAGCCCAUUACUGUAGCCCUGGAUAGUCAGGGAAAGAAGGGAUUUGCAAGUUUGAGAGGCCUGAGGCUGACCUAUUUGAAGCAGCAUUUUAAUUCUGUGCCACCUGUGUUGUUCCCCUUCCCUUCUGUUGUGUUUUAUGAGCAUCCAGCACUUCUGCAAACCCUGCCUUGGCUCUUCAGGUUGGAUAACCAGGGACAGAGGUUUCUGUCCUGGGACUAUGGCUGCCUGAGAUCUGUAAAGUGGAGCUGAUGAAACCAUUCACAGCAGUGAGAUGUGAAGACAAAUGAAGCUGUGUUUAUGGACUGCUUGACUGUUGUAGUGAUGCAUGCCAUGUAAUGAUUUUACAUUCCAUUCAAGACUUUGUGCUGCAAGUAAUGUGAAGGUUUUGUGGUGUCGUAAAGCGCAAAAGGAGCCUGUUUAAAAGCUGUGCAGGUGAAUUCAAUUCUGG